rnacentral:rRNA from 1 species
GGCGGACGGGUGAGUAACGCGUAGGAAUGUGUCCUGGAGUGGGGGAUAACCCUCGGAAACGAGAGCUAAUACCGGAUACGACCACCUCGGGCAUCCGAUGGUGGUGGAAAGUUCCGGCGGUGAAGGAUGAGCUCGCGGCCUAUCAGCUUGUUGGUGGGGUAAUGGCCCACCAAGGCAACGACGGGUAGCCGGCCUGAGAGGGUGACCGGCCACACUGGGACUGAGACACGGCCCAGACUCCUACGGGAGGCAGCAGUGGGGAAUAUUGGACAAUGGGCGAAAGCCUGAUCCAGCAACGCCGCGUGAGGGAUGACGGCCUUCGGGUUGUAAACCUCUUUCAGCUCCGACGAAGCGAAAGUGACGGUAGGAGCAGAAGAAGCACCGGCCAACUACGUGCCAGCAGCCGCGGUAAUACGUAGGGUGCGAGCGUUGUCCGGAAUUAUUGGGCGUAAAGGGCUCGUAGGCGGUCUGUCACGUCGGGAGUGAAAACUCAGGGCUUAACCCUGAGCCUGCUUCCGAUACGGGCAGACUAGAGGUAUGCAGGGGAGAAUGGAAUUCCUGGUGUAGCGGUUAAAUGCGCAGAUAUCAGACGAACACCAGUGGCGAAGGCGGUUCUCUGGGCAUUACCUGACGCUGAGGAGCGAAAGUGUGGGGAGCGAACAGGAUUAGAUACCCUGGUAGUCCACACCGUAAACGUUGGGCGCUAGGUGUGGGGACUCAUUCCACGAGUUCCGUGCCGCAGCUAACGCAUUAAGCGCCCCGCCUGGGGNGUACGGCCGCAGGNUAA